UUAGAAUGGCUUAGAGAGAGAAGCUCCGCCUUCUCUCUACUUUUCUUCAUCUUCUACACUGUUUCAUCGUCUUCUUCUUCUCCAUUGCAGCUGCUAAGGUAAGUAAACCUAGCAGAAUUAGUUAUGGCAAAGAGGAGAGGUCGCCCAAGAAAGGAACUAGUUCCAAUUUAUGCGAGUGAUUUAGUCUUCCGAAAUGCAGUUAAUACUGUGCAGAUGGUAGGUACUACUGUUCCAUCGAAUCCUCCGGUGGUUACUGUUCCAUUGCCUCAAGUAAUACCAGAUCCACAACCAUCUAGUGUUCCAAUGUUACCAGUAGCAACAGUGAAGAGUAUAAAACCUCCAAUCAAGGCAGUAGCUGGUCCGAAGGAGCAAGAAAAUGGAGACCAGACCAACAUGCAACAACCAACAACACCAGAUCCACCAAAGGAUGUAACAGAGGAAGGUGCAAACCCACCCAAAUAGUGGAAUAGUCUCUUCUAGAGUAACAGACUUGCUGCAAAUGGUAUGUCCUUAGAAUAUAUUCCCCCUACGAUUGUUAAUG
rnacentral:lncRNA from 1 species